CGCUGGGGGCGGCCUCAUCGGGGCGGCUGCGCCAGUCUCUGCCCGUAAUUUCCGCUCGGCCGCCCCGGCCCGAUCGCUUUCGGCACCGUGCUCUGUGAAAGGACCCGUUGGCUUUUCUCCUGCUGUGUGAGGAGAGCACUCGUCCAGGUGUCCUGUUAGGAAGGAUUCUGAAGUCAAAAGCCUUUCAGACUCUUAGAUUUACUAUGGUGCUGGAUUCCAGACCCACACAGUUUUGAAGAAACAAGUUUACAGAGAAAUAGCAUCGAUUCAGAUGAAUUCACCUGAAAGAUAUCAAGACUUACAUUCUGGGUGAUUCUGCAAAAUAAGUUUCUGGGACUUCCCAAAGAGUGGUUCCCACGUGCCAAUCCCCCUUCCAUCCUGCACCACCACCCCAAUUCUGAGGUUAUCUCCCAUUGUGUUAUUAUAUCCCCUUUUUCCUUCUCCCUUUUUCUUUGGCUUGGCAGAGAGGUUUGCCCAUUUUCACUGCUCUUUGUCCCCACUUCUCUUGAAUGCUGUGGUGUUUGGUGUUUUGAUCUGCUUCCAGCAAGCUCUUGGAGAGGCCCAUUGCAACAUUUUCUCCCACGUGAGAUUUUUAGAUGAACAAAACAGUAGUGAUGUGUCAUCUGUGCAGCCACAGAAGGUUCUCUAAGAGUUCCUGUGCACUUAGGAUGAUUUACCUUGGGACUUUAUAAACCUAGAGAUAGGCGAAGGUCAAGAAUACUUCAGGAGAUUCAUUUGAGGUCUUCAGUAACCUCCGAAAACAGGAUGUUGGUCAGUAAAUAUAAAAAGUGGGAGUGGCAAAAAUUGUAGUCACCACCAAAUAUCCAUUCUCUCCUUCAUCCUCAGUUACUGAUGCCCAGUUUUAAUCAGAGUGACUACGUGCUUCAAGUUAUGGUAAAGGAGAGUAAUGUGUGGGCUUCUGGGAAGUUUUGCAAAGGAAGGAACCUGACUCAGCUGGAAGUGUAGGGCCCUUGUUCCUUUGCAGGCAGACAUUAUGGCUAGUGCUCUGCCAACCGUUUUCUCUAAUGAGGGGACCUUAAGAAUGGAAGCCACGUGCUAGCAGUGACACAAAGGAACCUGGUGUGCUCAAUUACACAAAUGGCCACAAAUUCUUCCCACCCCCACCCCCCAUGCAUGCUCCUCUGCAGUGCAACUUUGUAGCUUCUCCCAUAAAGAGAUGAAGUCACGAUCUCCACCCCUUGAAUCUGGUGUGGGGAGUCCCAGCCUGAGGGAGAUAAGAAGGCCAUCCUCUGGGAGGGUCGUCCUGACGUGGAGUGUCAGAGCCUGAGCAGGGAGAGGAGGGCUUACAUUGAGGGGAGAUGGUGGGGGCUGAGAUCGGAAAUUAGUUACAUAGGGAAGGAUUGAUCAAAUUUGUAACUACUAAAGAUCAGGUUUCCCACUGCUGGAGCAGGGAGUUACAAAUACAGAAAUGUAGAAAACUAGGAUCAACCCUGUGCUGUGGAUUGGGUUAGAUGUGCUGGUGUGAACUCAUGGUUUUCAAUAAAUAUAGAUGUAAAUGUGCAUGUCUGUACGUGUACAUGUGUGUAUGUAUAUAUGGAUAUACGUGUACAGUAUGUCCUCAGUUAACAUCAUUGGUAGUUUCUGCGACUUCAAGUGAAAUGACGUAUCAUGAAACCUGUUUUGUUUAAUUGAUAUAAACAAGAGUUAAGUUCUCAUAGCAUUUCCUCAACAUUAUAACAAAAUGAUAUUAUUCAAGGACCUGUUGUUUCUAUUCCUCUGAGGGAGCCUGUGGGCAGAUAACACCCAAGAGCAAUAAGCACACCUCACAGCAGACUGGCUUCUAAAUAACAUUUUCCACAAAAUGGAAACCAGGGUUUCUUGGAUAAAUGGCUGGUUCCAGGCCUGGGACAAGGGAAGCCCAAGAUGAGCCUGGAAUAUCUUGUGCUAGAAAGUAAAGAAGUGCCCAAAGAGUGAUGCGGACAGGUCAAGGGGACAGAGAAGCUCGCUGGAAUUAGUCUGUCUAUCCAAAUCGAAGACAAUUUGAACAUCAAAAUAAAUGAUCACAUUGGAUGAUAGCUCACUGAAUAAAAUAGAAACCAUAAGUCUGCACAGACACAAAUAGAUAAAUGAACAAGUGGCAAGUUUGGUGGUGACUGAGAUAUUUACAUAGCUUCCAAGUACCUUCUUAGGAAAUACCAACUAUAAAGGGGGAAAGAAUAACUUCACUGUGGAGAAGCCUGGCUGGUCACGACCUUUAUCAAGUGAUCAGGGUGAAACGGGGGACAGAUUGAGAUCCUGUGCUAUUUGAUAGGAGGCAAUGAGAAGAACAGAACAUUUCCAAGAGUCCUGCUACAGAUGCAUGACCUGAAUCUAAUCACAAGGCAACAUCAGAAAAAAAACAAACUGAGGGACAUUCAGCAAAAUAAACGGCCUGAAAUCUUUAAAAGAUCAUGAAAGUCAAAGAAAGACUGAGGAAUUGUUCCAGAUUGAAGAAACUAAAGGACAUAACAACCAAGUGCAAUGGGUCCUUUUGCUAUAAAGAACAUUGUAAGGAGCAGUGAAAAACCUUGAAAGAGGUUUGAGAGAAAAUAGUAAAAAGAAACCUAUGUUAAUGGUAAGC